rnacentral:misc_RNA from 1 species
AACUUUUGGCAACGGAUCCCUUGGUUCUGGCAUCGAUGAAGAACGCAGCGAAAUGCGAUAAGUAAUGCGAAUUGCAGAAUUCAGUGAAUCAUCGAAUCUUUGAACGCACAUUGCGCCCUUUGGUAUUCCGAAGGGCAUGCCUGUUCGAGCGUCAUUAUAAACCACUCAAGCCUUUGCUUGGUAUUGGGGUUCGCGGUUUCGCGGCUCCUAAAAUCAGUGGCGGUGCCUGUCGGCUCUACGCGUAGUAAUACACCUCGCGUCUGGGUCCGGUAGGUGACUUGCCAGCAACCUCCAAAUUUUUACAGGUUGACCUCGGAUCAGGUAGGGAUACCCGCUGAACUUAAGCAUAUCAAUAAGCGGAGGCU